GAAAUGUGUUAAUGAAGGCAUUGCCUAUUUGAAGUCACCUAAAAUUGAGUUAACCUUGAAAUUGUGCCUUCAUGUGAAAAAAACACAACACAAACUUAACCUUUACACAUGUUGCCUUAGUGUCAAAGGCAAAAAAUAAAGGACAUUUAUUUCCGAGAUUAAAAGCAACUUAUUAAAUAUAAGUAGGUUAUCCCCCUACCUCCCCUUAUUCUAUUUCAGUGUAUAACUCAAACACCUAAAGACAUUGAUGUAGAAUACCUCACAGUAUUUAAUAUCUGACGAUGCUUUCAAAGAGUUGAUGUUUCUUUUUAUAUAUUUUCCUAACUCAAAGGAUAUAUUAAAGCCAUAAGUGAAGAUUGUCAUGCUUUUAUUCAAAAAUCUGAAAGAAACCUUAAUUAAAACAAGGUUUUAGGGAAGGCCAUGAUACGAAAGAUAUGGAACAAUAUGGUUUUAGUUAAAGAGGACUCCAACCUGUAAAUCAAAGAUGAAAGAUUUCACUCAAGUAGAAUUAUAUAACUCCCUUUUGUUAUACAGUCAGACCAUAUUUUUCAUGCAUUUGGUUUUCUUAGGAUUACCAUUUUAAUUUUAAAGACUUUUAUUACAUAUACAAAAAUGGCUCGAUACUUGGUUUAACAUCUUAGAAAUUUGAGACACUCUUUGAAAUAGGAAAUCUGAAAUGGAAUGUAACUCAGUAUUAGUUAAAAAUUACUUUCAUUGCAUAAGGGUAAGGUCAAUCUAGAUUCACAAUAGUAAUGAAUUUUUUUUCAUGAUAUUUUUAGAGAAAUUCAUGCCAAUCAUAUUUGCUAGCUCUUGCUAUUUUUGCUGUAAUUGCUUAAGGAGAUUUACUUAAAGAAACCAAAGGC
rnacentral:lncRNA from 1 species